CCUACGGGUGGCAGCAGUGAGGAAUAUUGGUCAAUGGGCGCGAGCCUGAACCAGCCAAGUCGCGUGAAGGAUGACUGCCCUACGGGUUGUAAACCUCUUUUAUAAAGGAAUAAAGUGAGCUACGUGUGCCUUUUUGUAUGUACUUUAUGAAUAAGGAAUGGCUUACUCCGUGCCAGCAGCCGCGGUAAUACGGAGGAUGCGAGCGUUUUCCGGAUUUAUUGGGGUUAAAGGGAGCGUAGAGGGGUUGUUAAGUCAGUUGUGAAAGUUUGCGGCUCAACCGUAAAAUUGCAGUUGAUACUGGCAGUCUUGAGUACAGGUGAGGUAGGCGGAAUUCGUGGUGUAGCGGUGAAAUGCUUAGAUAUCACGAAGAACUCCGAUUGCGAAGGCAGCUUACUAAACUGCCACUGACAUUGAUGCUCGAAAGUGUGGGUAUCGAACAGGAUUAGAUACCCCUGUAGUC
rnacentral:rRNA from 1 species